GAAGAGAAGGCUCCAGGGAGACCUUAGAGCAGCCCUCAAGUAUGUAGAGGGGUUGAUAGAGUCUCCUUCCAACACAGCAAAGGGACUUUUUACAAGGGCAUGUGGUAACAGGGUUGUCAGGGUCUCCUUCUGUGAAAACUAACUUGGUGCAGUAAUACCUCAUAGAGAAGAAGUUUUUAGAAAUAUGGUGUUAAGAAGCUGAUGGGUCUUCAGUCAGUCUGUAAUCUGUAAGAUACUCAGGUCAUCUCUAGAACAAGGAUACAAAAACCUCCUUUAAAAGCGAACAUUGUGGAUUUGAUGCUCAGCAGUUUGAGCUGACUGUGCUCAGUCAUUGGAGGGACCUCCUUUCUUGUAAGGUUGUUCUCAGUGAGAGAAGAACUUCAUCUAUUUCUUUGGACUUCCCCCUCUGAAAGACAUCCAGUCUUUGCUGAUGGAAGGGUACUAUUUGGAGCUGAAGAGCCUGCUGGAGGUCAUGUGCAUUUGCAUUGUAAUGGCAGAGAUACACAGAAAUAGUUUUGUGUUUGGAAAAAUGAUUCAGCAGUUUCUGUUCAUGUUGAGGCCUUACCUAAAAUAAUUCUGACAACACGUGGGUGUUAUUUCUUGGAUGCCAGUCAUAGUCCAUGUAUACAGCCACUUAAAGAUAAAAGUGGAACUUAGUAAUUACAGGAGUCCUUCAAGGUGUUGUACAUAUGUAUGCUUCACUUUUUGUUCUUCAGAGUCUUUCAGAAUCUUUCGCAGAUGUUUUUGCUUGCAAAUUUUGCUUUGGAGAGAGACCUGAGUUGAUGCCUGGUUCAUUUCACCCAAAUAUACUCAACAUGGGGAAAGAAUUCACCCAAGUAACUGGGCAUAGCAUGUCUCUGAGAACACCUGACCGAAGCAAGUGGUUCUGUUGUCAUGACCAAAGUUUUUCUGUUGGUGGAGUUCUUUGGUAUUGUUGGUUUGUUUUUUUGUGUGUGUUUCUUAAUGUGUGUUUCGAGUGCCUGAGAAACCUUUUCAAAUGAAGCACAUAAUUUAGUAUGGAAGUAUUGCUUACAUGUUUUUUGGUGCACUAGGCUAGAAACUGAAUCAAGAGAUGUAUAUUAAAACAGUUGUUGAAACAACA